rnacentral:rRNA from 1 species
AGCAGCCGCGGUAAUUCCAGCUCCAAUAGCGUAUAUUAAAGUUGUUGCAGUUAAAAAGCUCGUAGUUGAAUUUCGAGAUCAAUUUGUUGGUCGUGCCUCGGUACGUACUGGCAAUUUUGGUUUCUCCCUUCUGAAGAACCAUGAUGUCAUUAAUUUGGUGUCAUGGGGAAUCAGGACUGUUACUUUGAAAAAUUAGAGUGUUUAAAGCAGGCUCGCGCUUGAAUACAUUAGCAUGGAAUAAUGAAAUAGGACGUUUGAUUCUAUUUUGUUGGUUUCUAGGAUCGACGUAAUGAUUAAUAGGGAUAGUUGGGGGCAUUAGUAUUCAAUUGUCAGAGGUGAAAUUCUUGGAUUUAUUGAAGACUAACUACUGCGAAAGCAUUUGCCAAGGAUGUUUUCAUUAAUCAAGAACGAAAGUUAGGGGAUCGAAGACGAUCAGAUACCGUCGUAGUC